GAAACUGUCCCGGGUCUUUUUCAUCGCAUGUGUCAGAAUCUGGAGCAGAGCAGGCCUGCCUGGACUGAGAAACGAGGUUAUAGUCAGCACGGCCGCUGAAACCAACACCCUCCAGCGGAGACAGAAGGCUGUUUCCAUGGUGAGACACAUUUAGAUUUGCACAGGCAGACCAGAACAUGAUGAAUAAUUGAUAGAUAUCAGGCCCUAAUGUUAGCACAAACCAGCUGAAGGUUAUUUCCAGCUAUGCUCAUGGACUCUUGAACAGCAAACUCAUGCAACAAGUAGACAAACACACAGUGCACUGUGGGAACUGAUGCUGGAUAUAGACGACUAUUACGUAACACACUUAAAAACUUUAAGUGUGAGUGAUUGUGCCCCUGAAAUGCAUUUCACUUAACUGUUUACUCUAGACACUCAGGGAAGAAGCAACAUGAAGCUACAGAGCGCUGUUUAAACAUUUACAAAUCUCUUGAAUGCUAAGAGGAAGCAUAACGACAACUUAAUACUGCAUAGGAUCAAGGCUGUCAGGCUUUUACAGCUGUUAAAACCUUGUACAACUUUUACAGUUCACAUCUCUGGAUCUGGGUUGGAUCUAUACACAUAAGGACCAUUCAAUGGCUGCACCUGUUCCCUGCUCUGCCUGCCUAUUAUCAACCUGGAGAGGGAGUGGCUUCAUACUGAACACAUGCAGCCACUGUGACCUCUGAGAAAAAAAAAAGAGACCAAGUGAGGUGAACAGCAUGCAUAUCCAAUUACAGUGAGGGGAUUCCAUCUGUCCCUUUGAGAUGUUGAUUCAGACUUCAGAGAACAAACACAGACUUCUAUUGCAAAAUGUUGCUGCAAAAACAGAAAAAGGAAAACUAAGCACCAUCCAAACACCCAUCAAGGAUCGCCAAGGGGCUGGAGUCUAUCCCAGCAUGCAUCAGGUUAUGCAUCCUGGAUAGGCAGUCUUUGCCAGGGCUAACCAUAGAGCAUAUAUAAUUUACAGUCUAUGGGGCUAACACAUAAAUUACAGUUACAGUAGGGAUUUUAACUCAUACAUAUACAUGAUAGGGAAAAUUCCCAAUUUAUGUGACCUGCUGUCUUUGUUUGGGGGAAAAGACCAAGAACAAAUCCCAUGCAGAAAGGCUCUGACUUGCCUGGUGGAGUUUGAAAAGGGCCUCCAUGACAACUUCCCAAAACAACUUGUGAUAGGGUUUUAAGUUUUUUAGCAAUCUGCUCAACUAGAAUUGUCUGUAAUAAAAUGUGUACUUUUUCUUACUAAUUUAGUUUCACAUCCUUUUUUUCCAGCUUAAGGAAUCUGAAUUUAAGGGGUUGCUAGUCGAAAGUGCAUUUUAAGGCAAUUAGCUACAUUUGAAUCAACUUGGAUUUUCUUUCCCAAGCGCAACACAUCGCCCUCUGCUGACUUUUACGAACAUUUAACUAAUAGAAAACGGUUAAUCUUUACAGCAUGCAGUAAGACACCUUCUGCUUAAAGAUUAACCUCGCUGUAACUUUCGUUUUAAUAUAGCAGGCUUCACACAAAUGGAUUUUGGAACAAAUUGCUUUAAGAUGAACGGACGUUGUGUUUUCUUUUAGAAAAAGAUGGCUAAACUAAACUUGGCGACAUUUCCCCCUCAGUGUUUGAACUUACCUUCAAAAUAGAUAAGACUCAUUAUUGUUCGGUUUCAAACCCUAAAAACGCAAUUUAACAAGACUUUAACGGCCAACUCCAAUUUAGAGCACUUACAACGAUUCAGGGUUAUGAAAGGCCUCGUGUUAUUGAAAAACCAGAGAGGAAAAGAAAGAAAACUAAAUUAGGCUCAGUCUUUUUCCAGCUUGCCUACAGUUAGGCUAC